rnacentral:lncRNA from 1 species
UGUGUAUCAACUGCAUCAAACUCAAUGUUGCCGUCUUUGAAUUCAACGAAAUUUUCGUCGACGGUUUUUAUCGUUCAGAAAACAAGAAAGACGUGUUUUUAAUCGCGUGCUGCUUGCUGGUGACGCCACUGUCUUUUUCUCGUUGGAAAUUCGGAUUUGCUGAAAACAUCGCCAAAUUUCUUUACUUCCAUCACAUCGUGAAGAUUAUUAAGUUUACCGGACUUUGGCCUGUCUUUCCUUUAAAAUUUGCAAGGUUCUUUUUUUCAGUGAUCGAAGUUGUUAUCACAUACGCUUUUGAACAUGACCAACACAUUCAAGUUUGGAUACCUUAAUAUCGUUAUAUACAUCUUUUUC